UACGGAGGGUGCGAGCGUUGUCCGGAAUCAUUGGGCGUAAAGGGCGCGUAGGCGGGCGGUCAAGUCAGGGGUGAAAUCUUUCGGCUCAACCGGAAGAGUGCCUCUGAUACUGGCCGCCUCGAGGGAGGUAGGGGCAUGCGGAACUUCCGGUGGAGCGGUGAAAUGCGUAGAGAUCCGGAGGAACACCAAAGGCGAAGGCAGUGUCCUGGGGAGUACCUGACGCUCAGGUGCGAAAGCCAGGGGAGCGAACGGG
rnacentral:rRNA from 1 species